CAGUUAAGUGUCAAGUCUCAUAUAAUAUCCUUCCAUGCAUCAAGGUUUUAUGUUCUAACCUUUUGGUGACUCCUUAUGUAAUAAUAGUGGUGAUCAGUGAAUGUCUCUUGUUGAUGGAAGAUCAUUGUAUGCUUGUUUUAGAUAAGUCCAUAAGUGUGAAGUGAAAUUUGGGGCCAAGUUUUUGAUACAUGUGAUGGUUAAUGGAAAAUUUGUGUGUGUAUGUUCUUGGGGUAGCGCGUGGG
rnacentral:lncRNA from 1 species